ensembl:lncRNA DOCK8-AS2 DOCK8 antisense RNA 2
AUUCAGGCAUGCUCAUGAGAACACGCUGCUCCAGCUGGACUUAGAGGAACCCGGUGCAUCACAGGCAUUCCUGACAGAGUCUCGUGGUCCUGCUGGUCCACUCAGUGGUGAAAUGCCAUCACAUCCUUCAUACUCAUAUUUUUAGGACCAUAGGAGACCCAAUAUAUCUGUCUGUAUUGCAAUAAAUUACAAGGCUUUGACCAAAGACCCAGUUCCUAACUGACUGCUCUUGAAGCCAGCUCCACUGCAGAAUUAAGGAACAGAGAUGAGACUUGUCUGACAUGGGGAACUGUCACAGGAUAAUACCUUUGAAAAGCCUGGUUUUAGAACUUGCCUCUCUCAAUUUGAGGCAGUGUAUGUUUUUAAGUUUCUAAAAAUAAGAUAUUAUAAGAUUUGUAACAUUACAAUGACUGCCAAUGCAAAGAACCUCUGGGACUCUAGUGCAUCAGUGGAAUAUCAGCACAUUGAUGGACAUGUGGACUAUUUGGAUUCAGAAGACCUGGUUUGAGCUCAUCUCUGCUGCCAACUGUCUGUGUGACCUUAAGUAAAAUUAUCUCCUCUCU